AACGAACGCUGGCGGCGUGCCUAACACAUGCAAGUCGAGCGCGAAUGGAGCAAUCCUAGUAGAGCGGCGAACGGGUGCGUAACACGUGGGUAAUCUGCCUGGGAGACCGGAAUAACCUGCCGAAAGGCUGGCUAAUACCGGAUAAGCUUAUGGGUUCCUUGGAACCUGCAAGAAAAUGGUGGCCUCUGUAUACAAGCUACCGCUUCCAGAUGAGCCCGCGGCCCANCAGCUAGUUGGCGGGGUAAUGGCUCACCAAGGCAACGACGGGUAGCUGGUCUGAGAGGACGAUCAGCCACACUGGAACUGAGACACGGUCCAGACUCCUACGGGAGGCAGCAGUGGGAAUUUUGCGCAAUGGGCGGAAGCCUGACGCAGCAACGCGCGUGUGUGAUGAAGGUCUUCGGAUUGUAAAGC
rnacentral:rRNA from 1 species